UAAGCCAGAAAUUUUCAUUAUGAAGUGAAAUAUAUUUAUCUUCACUGAAAGGCGAGAGAGAAAGAAACAACUUACUGAUCAGUGUUUUUUCCCAGAUGAUUUCUGGUAUGCUUCAAGAGAACCAACAUAUAAAUUAAUGCACACAAUAUUUUGAGUUUUCUUCCAGAACAUGUACAGUCACUUUUUCCACAUCAAACAAAAAAAUAUAGUCUUUGCACUUUCAACUAUUUCCAACAGUACACAAAAUUCUCUCACUCUUCUACUUUCUUGGCUAACACCACCCUAAUUCUUCCCUUUCAAGACUUAUCCAAGGAAUCUGUGCACUACUGACCCAGAGGCAUUGUUUCUCUAAACAGCACCAACGAAACAAAUUACUAAAUUACUUCAUGCAGCUAAAAAUACUGAAUGCUGUAUACCACAGCUCUGUCAAGAGUGUCACUACUAAGUUGCACCAGUUUAAAUACUUCUUGGGACCAACCUUUAUGUACUGUGGGUAUCAUAAAAAAUAGAUGGAGAGAAGUUGAAAUCUAAACCAACUUAAAAUUUUGUCCCUUUUCUUUCUCAAAGGAAAAAAAAAUACCCCACUUCAAAGGCUGUUUGGCAAGUUUUGUCCUUCAAAUUCCAGUAUUGAGAAGAAAACAACAACAAAAAAAAGUAGGGGGAAGAAAAGCUUCUCUAUUUAGGAAGGUGGGAAAAUCUAAAGGAAAUAUAAUCGCAAUACCUCUGGACUCCUGGAUAUCAAAGGUUUGUACAUGCUGACUUCUGAUCAACAAUCUGCACUAUCCAUUCUGUUCCACCUGCUCUGAUGACUUGUUUGAAGUCCUGCAGAAAAUCUGUGUGAGGGCAGGGAAUGGAGAAAGGUCUUUCAGCCCCAUGCUGUAACCAUGAGACCACCCUCUCAUGUAAGAGCCCAAGGACAUCACAAGAUCAGGUGAAAGGCACUUUUAUAGCUUUCUGUAUAUUUAAGUCAACAUAGCUUUGCAAUACUAGAGAACAAGCAGUAAGCAUAAUGGUUUGAGGGAUGAUAGCUCUUCAUGAAAUAUUAGCUUCAGGUUGAUACUGACUUAAUGUUGUCUUUACAAGCUCCCAAUGAUGAUUUAUGU